AAGGAGAAGGGGAAGAAAGCCGACUUGACGUAUACGCCAUCUACCCACCAAAGUACCAAACAGACUUAAGCUUGUCUUGUCAAUUGGUGUCUGCUGCAAGCUGUUGGGGUGACGAACAAAGGUUAAAGUGGUGAAACUAAGAAAAAGUCUGACUGACUAUCUCUACUGCAAAGUUCUCAUAAGUUGGUGGCAACAAAAAUUCCCAAGUAGUGCGUAAGCUUUUUCUUCACAUGAAGCAAAUCCGUUACCUUUUUGAACAAUCGACGUCUUCUGCUCCGUGAAUAACAUUAAUUGACAUUACGCUCAAGAGAGAAACGGUUCAGCGAUAGAUGGAACGAAGUAUUUUUGCAUAGCUUCUCACCUGCAUGGAUGACCUGACGCCUUAGAUCCUGCCUUAAGAAGAGCUGGCCGAUUUGACCGAAACAUAUCACUUCUGGGAUGACCUCACCGCAAGAGAGAAGAUUCUCAAAGUGAACUGCAAGAACCUCAGUUUAGAAUGGAUAUGGGCUUUUAAGUUUUUGGAUUUGAGCACAUCAUCAUAGCUAGGAAUGGGUGGAAAAAAAAAAGAUUUGAAAUUCUGUUUUUCACCUCUCACCAGUCACAAGAUGGAUGCAGUUAAUAUAUUUGGCUCCUUAAGAUUUGGAAUUGACAACACCUUGCCCAGCCUUGACGUCGUUGAAGCGUGGUUGAAGUUGAACCAGACUCUGACAGUUGGGAUUGCUAAAACUCUGACAUUGUUUCGAAAUCUUUGUAGGAUAAUUGCUUCUCGGUUAUUUCCACUGGCUGCUUAAAAAAAACUCCGUUUACGAGUUCAUGGAUGAAGUUUGCCAUACUUCAUGCAUGAUCAGCUGUAUUUGAAGCAGAUUUGAAGUCAUGCAAGCACUACCAGUUAGAGGAAAGCCACUUCUUUAUGUUGCUGGAAGGUGCUGUUGAUUUGUUCCUUUAAGAAGAUUGAUAGUAACUUGCAUUCAAUUUUUUCACUUAAAUUGUGUUUGAAAUUGGUUUACUUUAUUAAGUUGAAAGUUUGUUUUGAUGUCCGAAGAGAUUGUGACAGCCAACUCUUAACACAACAAGGAGAUUCAAUAUUAUGAAAUGAAAGAUGAAAAUUGUAUUGCAGUUAGCGGCUGUAAUUUGAGUCAGCAUUCUCAGCAACAUAACCAAAAAAAUGUGGCGAUAGUGUUUUUAUUAUGAAUAAGUGUGUAACAAAAUAUACAAAAUAAAAGUGAUACUAAAAUUGUG